rnacentral:lncRNA from 1 species
CUAAUCCUGUAUUACAAAUCAAUCCUUAUGCAUUUUUUAAAUAAGAUUUGGAUGACUAGCAUAGCUGGUUGAUACUCUAAUUAUUUUAACUUAUUAUAUUUCUCUUUGAUAUACAGAAAUAAAAACUCGAUGAUCUAUUUAAAUAAAAGGAACAAUUUACUUUCUCUUUCUUCCUCUCUCUCUUAAAAAAAAAAAAUUUAAUAUCUUACAAAUUUUCUCAAGAUUUCGUACGUGAAAAUUGAACUCAUUAACUCCCAGCACCUAAUUAGUUGGUCUUUAUACUACUUGCAUAAAAUUUAUUUAUGAAAAUUUAAAAAAAAAUUUAAUCUACACUACAAAUAAAUAUUAUUUUUAAAAAAAAUAAUAUUAAAAAUAAAUGUAAUAAAAAUUUAGAACAAAGAUAAUAAUUUAAAUUAAA